GCCCUGGUAGUGCAGUCCGGCCUAACAUAAGCGGCUGUCGCCCGCUUGACCCGGGUUCAAAUCCCGGCCAGGGCGCCA
rnacentral:tRNA from 1 species